UCCCUUUUUCUUCCUAUACGUGCCUCUCUCCUCUCAGCCGCCCCUUCAUCUUUCUCUCAAAUCAUCUCCUCUCAAGCUCCAUGUCUCCCCUAUCUUCCUCUCUCACUUCCAUGGGAGACCACGACUACACUCAUGGCGGCGUGAGGUGGCUCACAACGAUGAUGUGUGGUGGUUUCCAUGGAAGCCAAAGAAGAUUGACAGAUGGAACUAGCUCGGUGGUUAGUGCUCUGCCCACUGUUCUUGAGAAUCCAAUCCCACCCAAAUCAUCCUUCAAUGAGUUGAUUGAAUCAUUAAUAUUAGUGGUUUCUCUAACCACCCCCAUUCGGAUAGCGCUAACUAAGCAGAGGAGACAAGCCAGAGUUCAGAGCAACGUCUCCUAAUGUGACUCACUCACUCUCUCUCUUCCGAUCUCCUCUCUCCCAAGUUAUCCGAUCGUAGCUAAGACCUCUGCUACUACUACUAUGGUUGUUCCUAUGGAAGAAGCCAUUGCGGCGCUAUCUACAUUCUCACUCGAGGAUGAGCAAGCAGAAGUGCAAGGACCAGGAAUUUGGGUGUUAACAGAGAGAGGUGCAACUGAAAGUCCAAUUUAGUAUAAUGAUGUUUCUGCAUAUCGCCUAUCUCUAUCAGAAGAUACAAAAAGCUCUUAAUCAACUGGUGCUUUGCUGUCUAUAUCACCACUCUUUCCAAAAAAUAUUAAAUUGUUUUGGCCAAAUCAGAUGCAAUUUCACCAAUUUUGCUAGAAAUAUCUGCUGCCUGAACUGCAAAGCUGAGGGACCAAAUAAGUGUGGAUGAAGUGAUAUUGAAAUGAAGAAAUGUGAUUGGAAUUGUCCAAACUGAGUUUCCUUUUUUUAUUGUGUCCUUCUAAUCUAAGGGGAAUAAAAAGCCUGAUAUUAAUCAUAAAAAAGUAUGCAAGGAAAAGUACAUUUGGCUGUUACUGAAUAAGUUUUGCUUUUCAUUUUUCAAUUGCUUCAUUCCUAUAAACCACUGUAAAUUCUAUUUGCAAAAGGGCAAGUUUCAAGAGAGAGCUUGAUAUUAAUCUUUGAAAUUGUGAAAGAAAGUACACUUGGAGAUGAGAAGUUCAAGUUGGAUUUCUUUCCCCUAAUUAGAUUUUUAUUUGAAAAACUACACCGUUUUUCAAAUAAUGGUCAAUUUAUUUCGUUCCAAUAUCUGAACAGCAGUCUGUUAAACUGCAUUUCUUAUUGAAAAUUUCAUUUUUUUGAAGGACUAUGUUGCCACUCGAUGGUGUUGUUCUCCAGAACUCUGUGGGUCAAUUUUUCUCAAAAUACACUCCUGCAAUAGAUAUUUGGAGCAUAGGAUGUAUUUGCUGAAAUGCUUACAGGAAAACCACUGUUUCGUUGGGAAAAUGUGAUACACCAAUUGGAUCUCAUGACUGAUUUGCUUGGCACACCACCCUCCCCAGCUGAAUCCACUGGAAGGUACUGAUGCUUUACUAGGAUGAUUGGCCUAGCUGCUGAUUAUUGUCCAAGAUUCAUUCUAUAAUUAAAAACAGAAUGCUGAAGAAGCUAAGCAAACAAUUACGUGGCGAGGAUUGGAAUUGGAACAACUUAAACACAUUAUGUUGGGCAAUAGGGUCUAUAUUUGGAUUUGAUUAUGACUAUGUUGAUUCUUUAUGACUAUGUCUUUCUUCAAUUUUUUCUACUUGACUAUUUAUACUAUUGCUUGGAGCUUUUAGAGUUUCAUUUGGGGUCUGAGACUGUAAUGCCUGUACAGUACAAAGUCACCAUUAGUAAGUAUAGCACAUACUUUCAUCUUAGCACUAGACCUUAUAUAUAUAAUUUAGUUAAAUCAGUUAUUUAGUUUAGUUAAGUUAUUGAGGGUAAUUUUGAGCUUAGUACUGGACCUUAUAUGCCUAAAUUAGUUGAAAUAGAUAGUUUAUUUAAGUAUAGAACUGUAUCUUACUUUUCUUGAUUCUUCUUUGUGGCAUGUAUAUAUUGGUGCCACUGAGAGAGCUAGUGUCAAAUAUGUCUUCACUCACUUCAACACUGAUAAUGAGCAAGGAAUCAACGAAUUAGUGACCCCAAUUUUUGUUCUAUGUAACAGAAGGGUCAGACUAAUUCUUCUUGUUUUUCUUAUUAUUGUAAAACACUUGCACUAUUCUUAAUUUGGAAGGCUUUGUGUUGGACAGCUGUAUAAUAUUUUGUGUUGAAAGUAGUAACUUUUCACUAUGUUGAAUAUUUAAGACUACUUGAAUACUUAAAGAAUAUUUUGUUGUU